rnacentral:tRNA from 1 species
ACCUGUGUGGCGGAAUGGUAGACGCUCUAGAUUUAGGCUCUAGAUCUCUUUAGAGAGUGGGGGUUCAAGUCCCUCCACAGGUA